AAACAAACACAGUGCAGUUCAGAUUCAGGCAGGCAAACGAUUCAUUUUCAUAAAAAAUUAAAUUAAAAAUAGCUAUAAAAAUAAAAUAAUUUUAUAAAAUGGAUGAAGUCCUUGCUAACAGUUUCCAAGAAAAAAGCGGAUGCAUACUCCCGACAAAACGAACUCUCAUUCCACAAGUCUAAACGGUUUCGAUAUGGGGUGAAAUAAUUCCCUUACGUGAUUCAGUGUCUUUUAAAUUUAAGAGCCAAUAGACUGCAAUCCACCAUAGUCCGUUUACUUAUCGUAUUUUUUUUACGAUGAUACGAUAUAAUUUAAAAUAACGAUAUAACUUUAAAAUUUCUCUGAAAUUUAAAGAAUCAAGCGUUGCCAGACCGAAAAAAUGCUGUCUCAUCUUAAGGGGAAAGGAGUUGUGAAGAAAGUGGUGAGGGGUUGUUGCUAUUCAGAAUGGGAGUCAAAGAGAAAGACGAGGUUGGUGUUACCAGACUAGGAAAAAUAUGACUCAUCUUCAUAAAGAGAAAGAACACAUGGCGCUUUGAUUCAAAAAUAUUGCAUUUUUGAGCUUGAUAAAAGAAACAGAGAAGUUUUAAAUAUUUAUUAAAAUUCAGAAUUGUGUUCUCUUGAAUCAAUUUAAUUACAUAUUUAGAAGUCUGAUACAUUGCUAAAUUUAUUGUGACCAAAAUGGCUAAGCUUUCCCAUGAUUCGUUUAAAGAUUCCGGAGAAAAGUGGUCACAGUCCUGGACUGCGCGAUAGCACCACAAGUCCAUGGCCUCUGCACAGCCUUUAUAUCGGCAACCUUCAUUUUGCUCAUCCACUCGUGGGCGGGCUGGUUGAAAUACCUCCAACGAAGGUCCCAACCCAAGGAUGCACUCCGGAUGCACUCCUCGAGAGCUGGUCUUUAAUCUCCUUAAAGGCAAGCCGUUGAAAUAGAAUACCAGCUUGAUACUCUCCUCGGGCUGCAAGAGCAAGUUCUCAUAGCGUAUAAUGCCCCGAGGAUUGAGAAUUAUUUCUUUCUAUUAUACUGUGAUGGGCUCAAGCUACUGUUACUCCUGAAGCUAAUAAAAUAGUUGUAUUUAAUAAAGAAAUUUGGAAUGGAUUAAAUGAAAUAAUUCCUAAGGGAGGUCAUGAAGCUCCUAAUUCAAAAAGAAAGCUCAAAUAAAACUAACGAAAAAUAAAACUUCUGAUAAAAUAAAUAAAAUGAUUCCUCAUCACAACCCAAUAGUUACAGCCGCUCAAGAUGUCUGACGUUCGAGACUGAAUCCAUGCCCCACAGUUGGACGCAAUACGUCAUCGAGGGCACCACAAUUGCUUUGAACAGCAAUCUUUGUUGCCAAGGCUGAGCUCGCUCGUUGGCUUAAGCAACUAGUUGAGCUUCCUUAGCUUAGCUCUACAUGUAGCUGCUAUUUUGUUGCAAAGCAGACUGUCGUUAUAAUUUUGGAAUUUGUUUCUGUCCUUGUUGCUAUGCCAGAGGUAGAUGACCUUGACGUCUUUACCCAUUCCGUCUGGAAAACGUUAUCAGCUGGAUUACAAAAAUGACAAGACUUGGACAUACCUAUGUGGUGGCUCAGGGGCUCGACAGGUGAAAUAGCGAGAACUGCGAUGCCUUCUACAGUCCCUCGGAGGUUCCCACGAACAGGUCGUCGUCCACAAGCGUUGAGAUGCCUCUCGGCUCGUCCGAAUGGCCCGCGACUGGAAAAGAGAAAACGUUAUCGGCUGGAAAUACAAAUAUGUUUAGAUUUAGACAUACCUAGGUGGUGGCUCAGGGGAGACAAGAGGUAGAUGACCUCGGCGUCUUCAAUCAAGACCAUCGUCCUUGAGAGGUCGAUGUCCAUUCCGUCCAGGUUGUCGUCAACAAGCUGCGUGGUGGUGAAGCAACCACUUAUCUCGUCCUUCGAGUGAUAAAGGGGACAAAACAUUACCGAUUGGAACACGAAUUUUAUAAGAUAAGUCCUACUUAUGUUUUGCUACUCACUUUGGAAAUCCGGAGAUUUCGGAGGACGAUAAAUGCCCAGAUCAUCAAAUGUCAGGCUCCGCUUUGCCUUGCUUGUUUUUGCAGCUGUAUACGUCUGCAAAGCAAUAAAAACAAACACAUACACAUACGUAUAAGAUAUUAAAAAAAAAAUAGUAUAUUUUAAAAACUCUAAUAAAAUCCUAGCAACAUCUUCAA